rnacentral:rRNA from 1 species
UGAACGCUAGCUACAGGCUUAACACAUGCAAGUCGAGGGGCAGCAUGGUCUUAGCUUGCUAAGGCCGAUGGCGACCGGCGCACGGGUGAGUAACACGUAUCCAACCUGCCGUCUACUCUUGGACAGCCUUCUGAAAGGAAGAUUAAUACAAGAUGGCAUCAUGAGUCCGCAUGUUCACAUGAUUAAAGGUAUUCCGGUAGACGAUGGGGAUGCGUUCCAUUAGAUAGUAGGCGGGGUAACGGCCCACCUAGUCUUCGAUGGGUAGGGGUUCUGAGAGGAAGGUCCCCCACAUUGGAACUGAGACACGGUCCAAACUCCUACGGGAGGCAGCAGUGAGGAAUAUUGGUCAAUGGGCGAGAGCCUGAACCAGCCAAGUAGCGUGAAGGAUGACUGCCCUAUGGGUUGUAAACUUCUUUUAUAAAGGAAUAAAGUCGGGUAUGGAUACCCGUUUGCAUGUACUUUAUGAAUAAGGAUCGGCUAACUCCGUGCCAGCAGCCGCGGUAAUACGGAGGAUCCGAGCGUUAUCCGGAUUUAUUGGGUUUAAAGGGAGCGUAGAUGGAUGUUUAAGUCAGUUGUGAAAGUUUGCGGCUCAACCGUAAAAUUGCAGUUGAUACUGGAUAUCUUGAGUGCAGUUGAGGCAGGCGGAAUUCGUGGUGUAGCGGUGAAAUGCUUAGAUAUCACGAAGAACUCCGAUUGCGAAGGCAGCCUGCUAAGCUGCAACUGACAUUGAGGCUCGAAAGUGUGGGUAUCAAACAGGAUUAGAUACCCUGGUAGUCCACACGGUAAACGAUGAAUACUCGCUGUUUGCGAUAUACAGCAAGCGGCCAAGCGAAAGCGUUAAGUAUUCCACCCUGGGGAGUACGCCGGCAACGGUGAAACUCAAAGGAAUUGACGGGGGCCCGCACAAGCGGAGGAACAUGUGGUUUAAUUCGAUGAUACGCGAGGAACCUUACCCGGGCUUAAAUUGCAGAUGAAUUACGGCGAAAGCCGUAAGCUGCAAGGCAUCUGUGAAGGUGCUGCAUGGUUGUCGUCAGCUCGUGCCGUGAGGUGUCGGCUUAAGUGCCAUAACGAGCGCAACCCUUGUUGUCAGUUACUAACAGGUUCUGCUGAGGACUCUGACAAGACUGCCAUCGUAAGAUGUGAGGAAGGUGGGGAUGACGUCAAAUCAGCACGGCCCUUACGUCCGGGGCUACACACGUGUUACAAUGGGGGGUACAGAGGGCCGCUACCACGCGAGUGGAUGCCAAUCCCCAAACCUCUCUCAGUUCGGACUGGAGUCUGCAACCCGACUCCACGAAGCUGGAUUCGCUAGUAAUCGCGCAUCAGCCACGGCGCGGUGAAUACGUUCCCGGGCCUUGUACACACCGCCCGUCAAGCCAUGGGAGCCGGGGGGUACCUGAAGUGCGUAACCGCGAGGAGCGCCCUAGGGUAAAACUGGUGACUGGGGC